AUUGAACGCUGGCGGCAGGCCUAACACAUGCAAGUCGAGCGGGGUUUUCGGACCUAGCGGCGGACGGGUGAGUAAUGCGUAGGAAGCUGCCCGAUAGAGGGGGAUACCAGUUGGAAACGACUGUUAAUACCGCAUAAUGUCUACGGACCAAAGUGUGGGACCUUCGGGCCACAUGCUAUCGGAUGCGCCUACGUGGGAUUAGCUAGUUGGUGGGGUAAUGGCUCACCAAGGCGACGAUCCCAAGCCGGUUGGAGGGGCUGAUGAGCCACACUGGGACGGAGAGACGGUCCAGACUCCUACGGGAGGCAGCAGUGGGGAAUAUUGGACAAUGGGCGCAAGCCUGAUCCAGCCAUGCCGCGUGUGUGAAGAAGGCCUUCGGGUUGUAAAGCACUUUCAGUAGGGAGGAAGCGUUGUGUGUUAAUAGUACACAGCGUUGACGUUACCUACAGAAGAAGCACCGGCUAACUCUGUGCCAGCCGCCGCAGUAACA
rnacentral:rRNA from 1 species